rnacentral:rRNA from 1 species
GAUGAACGCUGGCGGCGUGCCUAAUACAUGCAAGUCGAGCGAACAGACGAGAGUGCUUGCACUCUCUGACGUUAGCGGCGGACGGGUGAGUAACACGUGGGUAACCUACCUAUAAGACUGGGAUAACUUCGGGAAACCGGAGCUAAUACCGGAUAAUAUUUAGCUUCGCAUGAAGCAAUAGUGAAAGACGGUUCUGCUGUCACUUAUAGAUGGACCCGCGGUGUAUUAGCUAGUUGGUGAGGUAACGGCUCACCAAGGCAACGAUACAUAGCCGACCUGAGAGGGUGAUCGGCCACACUGGGACCGAGACACGGCCCAGACUCCUACGGGAGGCAGCAGUAGGGAAUCUUCCGCAAUGGACGAAAGUCUGACGGAGCAAUGCCGCGUGAGUGAAGAAGGUUUUCGGAUCGCAAAACUCUGUUGUAAGGGAAGAACAAGUACGUUAGUAACUGAACGUACCUUGACGGUACCUUACCAGAAAGCCACGGCUAACUACGUG